CGCGUAGGCGGUCAGGUCAGUCCCGUGUGAAAUCCCUCGGCUCAACUGAGGAACUGCACGGGAAACUGCCUGGCUUGAGUUCGGGAGAGGGAAGCGGAAUUCCGGGUGUAGCGGUGAAAUGCGUAGAUAUCCGGAGGAACACCGGUGGCGAAGGCGGCUUCCUGGACCGACACUGACGCUGAGGCGCGAAAGCUAGGGGAGCAAACGG
rnacentral:rRNA from 1 species